CGCUGAUGCUGGUGUAUAUCUCUCUGCUAGCCUGCAUGAUGACCUGCUCCAAUAUCACAGCAGCAGCGAUCCCAGCAGUCUCCUCUCCCUCGACCUUAAGACAUGGGGGCACAAAAUUCGAACUUGCCUCCGGGAGACAGGGAUGAACUUACGCCACUGCACAGAGGACAUGCUGCUCCAGAUCCUGCCAGCCAGACUGAUAAGAAUCCAUAUGAAAGCCUCCUACCCGGUCCUUAAGGUGAUCGACUUAACACUAGUGGAGUUAAACCAGUUCAUCUUCUCUGGGUAAU